rnacentral:rRNA from 1 species
GGAUUGUAAACUUCUUUUAUAUGGGAAUAAAGUGCACCACGUGUGGUGUUUUGUAUGUACCAUAUGAAUAAGGAUCGGCUAACUCCGUACCAGCAGCCGCGGUAAUACGGAGGAUCCGAGCGUUAUCCGGAUUUAUUGGGUUUAAAGGGAGCGUAGGCGGAUUGUUAAGUCAGUUGUGAAAGUUUGCGGCUCCACCGUAAAAUUGCAGUUGAUACUGGCAGUCUUGAGUGCAGUAGAGGUAAGCGGAAUUCGUGGUGUAGCGGUGAAAUGCUUAGAUAUCACGAAGAACUCCAAUUGCGAAGGCAGCUUGCUGGACUGUAACUGACGCUGAUGCUCGAGAGUGUGGGUAUCAAACAGGAUUAGAUACCGUGGUAGUCCACACAGUAAA